rnacentral:hammerhead_ribozyme from 1 species
AUCCAGCUGACAAGUUCCAAAUAGGACGAAACACGCGUCAAACUGGAU